UUGUGUUUGUUUGUACCAUCAACUAUUCAAAUGUUCUAAAAAUUGGCUUAUUGAAGGGCUUGGCAAACAACUUGUAAAAAUGAACACUCUCACCUAUUUUGCCUUCAUUUUGAUGAUUAGCGAUUGUGUAUUCUCUUUUUUUCAGUGUCUCGACAAUGUCAUGGAAGAGGCAGUGUGGAGAUGUUGCUAUGGAAGAUGUUGAGUGAGGGCUGAAGGAGGCUACUUCAUUCACAGACGUCCACUCACCUGGCUAUGCACGUUCAUCUGGAAUGGAAGGUGGUGACUAAGGAACCAGCAGAUAAGAGAUUUGUAUCUUUUAGGGUUGACCUAUAUAUUUUAUCCCCAAGAAGUUGGAGGUGAGAAAAUUCAUACUUUUAUUUAUAUUAAUCAAUCAUUUUAAUUAAAUAUAACCAGUGUACUCAAAACCUAAGUGCCUCCUGUUUCAAAGAAAAUACUGUUUUAUCUUCUCUCUAGACCAUGCCACUUCAUACAUCCUGUGGAUAAUAUUAAACAUGUGAUAACUGGCAUUAUCCUGCCCUUGAGAAACUUGUCUAAUUGGGGAGAAGAGACCUCACAUGUGGAACAAUCCAGAAGUACUUAAGGCACCUACCAUAAAGGCUUAACACAUUAAAGAACUGAGAAUUAUUUGGCUAUAACAGAGAAUCUGCUAAAUUAAUGGCAUGGCCAAUACAUGCCAUAUUUCCAAAGAGGGUGCUAGGACUAUGGGCCAAAAUUACCUGGGAAUGUUCGAGAAGGCAGUGAGUGUGUAAGCUGAACUUUAAGGAAAUCUGUAGGAAUUGAAGGGGUAGAGGAGAAAAACAAGGGCAUUCUAGGUGGCAAGGCUGCUGCAUGCCCGUCCCCAGGUAGGUCCGGGAGGAAUUGGAGAGGUUGGAAAAGGGGUUGGAGAGGCAGGUUAGGCAAGGCCUUGAGUGCUUUCAUAAAAGUUUACACCGGGUUCUUCAGGUAAAGGCAGCAUUUUUCUUUUUUUUUAGAUCAGAGUGGUGGCAGGUACGAAAGUAUAGGCUGAGGGGCACUGGCUGUGGUGAACAGGAUGUUCUGGGUGAUACAGGGACAGGGAAUAGGGUGUCCGGCUGGGGAGGUCCUUUAAUGGACCCAGCAGUGAGAGAAGAGGGCAGGAGAAUGAUGAGUAGCCCCCUUAAGUGCCAGAUGCCUUUCAUAUAUGAUCCCGUUUGUUUUUAUCCUCUGGAAAUCCUGCACAGUGGCUAUGACUCUCCUUACUUCAAAGAUGAAGAAACUGAAGCUUGGGCAAGUAUGAUAAUGAGCUUCACGUCAAAAGACUACUAUUUUAGUAGAACUUUCCUUGGCUCUAAAUCCCCUGUUCUUUCCACUUUGUCAGGCUGCUGGGAGCUCAUAAGCACAAAGUUACUGCAUGUCCUGAUUCAACCUCCACGUUGCAACUGCCAACAACAGAGCUUGUAUCCCCCUCACAGACACACAAACGCGGUCAGCUCAUCACUCCCACGCUUCCCAAGAGGCUGGGAAAGCGAAUCAGAACGUUAAUUGAAGUCCUCUCCUUCCUGAGUUCCACCGUGGUGAUCCCACGAUAUCACACACCUAUGUCCUAUACACAACACCCUCCCAGGAAUGAUGGCCUUAUCCUGGAAUGAUGUGUUUAGUGUCUCUCCCACACCUGAUUGAGAGCUGUUUGAGGAUGAUUGCUUAAAAAAAAAAAAUAUAUAUAUAUAUGUAUAUGCUUUCCUAAGUUCUGGAUCUUCAUCUAACACCUUGAUAUGCCUAACGGAAGUAUACAGUAAGCACUCUGACUACAUCUAUAGCACAAUAAACAACCAGGCAUUUCAAACAAAUAUUCGCAAGAAAAUCAGUGGAUUCAAAUAUUCAGAUUAAACAAUUGGACACGUGGAUUUAAUGUGGAUGGUCCCCUGUUGUGAAGGCUUAGUAUUUGUAGGUGCUCAUCUUAUACAAUGAGGAAACUGAGGACUAACGAAGUUUAUGAAUAAGCCCCAAAUCAUCUAACAAUUUUACAGAUGCCAAAACCACGAGUAAAUGGAAGAAAUUAACUACUUGAUGAUUGUAAGUAGCCCCCAGACCUUCUGGCGCCUAAGGAUUGAUCACCAUCAACCAAUCAGAGAAUUGUACACGAGUACUGUGAUGUACCUUUAUGGAUAAACAAUGACUCAUCAAACUGAGUUGCCUGCCUCAAAACUCCAGCUGUAUGGCUUGUGGGCAGGACUUGAACCAGACCGACUCGAGGCUAUCACCCCAAACUGUAUAAUUACCGCAAGUUAAGAGGAAAGAAAAAUGAAUCUCAAAGAUAUCAAAUAAUAGACCUAUACUACGAUCUCACAGCUGACAAGAAUCCAACCUAAGAGUCAAACCCUCCAAAUGCUGGGCCUGUUUUUCACAGCAUUUUUUCUCCUUUCAAAGAAUAAGAACAAAGUCACACUGCAUUAGUGGCCACAUCUGGCUCUAAGACACUUCCUUUCUGUCAGCAUCAGAAUGAAGAGAGGCAGAGCUACUGAAGGUCAUCAAUCAUCUGGAAGAAACCCUGAAUGGGGCCCAUUAGCCAUAAAAACAAGAUGUUUUGGGACACCUUUCAGAAAUUCUCUUUCAGUGACCUUCACAAUACAAUGACGACCUUGUCUCUGUUAUCAAAGGACUGUCAGCAAGCACUUAAGGAACUCACCUGCCUGCUAAAAUGCCACACAGACCAAUGGAAAAUUUCCCUCAAUCAGGAGCAGAAUGUCAGGGGCUCCUCCUGAUUCCACAAGAUCGGGAGACAGCCUAGCACAGCUCGGGGGCCGCUGCCUGUCCGUCUGACCUUUGUCAGCAUCGACGUGACCAGCCAUGGUAAGAAUUUAACAAGGAAACCACUAAGGUCCUUCCCCUCUCCAUUGCCUUUGAGAAUACUUAACAUUUUCACUUUCAGCUACAAAAGCAAACCUUUAUUUUAAGGGCAAGUCAUUUCUCCAUAGGAGACUCAGAGAAAGUUGAAAGCCUUCAGUCAACUAAACAAUGUUGGAAUCAACCAUUAUCGGAUAUUAUCCCAUAUGCUUUAUAUAAAUUAUUGCAUUUAAGCCUAUGGAAAAGCACAGGUGAGGAUCCUGGGUUUCUGCGCAUGUAAAUAGUUUAAAAGGCUUGUCCUAGCAUCAGCUGCUAGUUGGGGGCGAGCUCUCUUUCUAUGGUACCAAGUUCCAUCCCAGAAAACCUCCUACAGAGAGUUUAAGAACAAAACACAGACAAGUAGGCAGGAAGUGUCAGGGAACCUGAUGUAACCUAGCAGGACCCUAUGAGGUCUUCCCAGAAAACACCCCCACCCAUGUCCUCCGCCUGCCUUUUGCCUGCAGAAAAACUUUAGUCAAAGAAUAAACUUAA